UGCAUCUAUACAUACAUACCCAGGACUUUCUCUGUCCACUCACCACCCCCACCCUACGUGGGGAGGACUGAGGAGGUAUCGCAGACCUUUUGUGCAUAUGUAUAUAUACAACAUGCGUGUAAGCAUAUAUAGCUUUCUGAUCAGUAUGACCUUUUGAAACUCGAAAGAAACGUCUUAAUGAAGAAGCUGUCGUUUGCAUCAUUCCAGAUUUUGCAGAGAUCUUCCCGUCGCUUUCUCUGACUCUCAUGAAGACAGCGACCCGCCAUUUUUGCUUUCUCUCAAUCUCCACUCCACCUAUAUAUAUGUAUUACAUAUAUAUAUAUAUAUAUAUACUACUGUAGUUUCCCAUGACUCUCUCUCUCUCUCUCUCUCUAGUUCUUCAAUUCAAGAAAAUCAGUUUAACCAUUGGCUGGGAAUUUCAAUUUUGUACAUGAGAUUAAUUAAACACGUUUGGUGCAAGAGCGGCAACGGUAAACCCCUCUCUAUGACCCUUGUACAUUGAUGCAACAAUCCGUCUUCAAAACCAACGACUAAUAAUAACUUGUCGGUCCAAAUUGCAAUAUUUCAUGGAAGACGGAUGGUCUCUAUUGGUCCACCACAACCGUUGUUUGGAGUCGUACUAGGAAAGCCGUCUGCCUGAUUACCGGCAGUUGGAGGAAUUCCAGAGAGCCGGAGUUCAAGAUCAGGUUCUAUUUUAUGGUGAUUGGAAAUUUUUGGUCCAUUGCCUCUAGCUAGCUCUAUUGUUUCCAUUGGUCGUACGUAGUUACUUAUGUGAAGAAAGCUGGCUCAUUGCCAAGAGUGCCAGCUAUAAUCACCCCAAUCAAUACGAUCCUUCAUCCAUCUUCGAACAUUACUUAUCUUGUUUAAGAUUCAUCUACACUUGUAAAUCCCAGAAUUCUGGACUUGGAUUUGACAUGGUUUUCUCUGCCUAUUCGUCAAUAUUAAUGUUAUCCUUGUCACUCUUGCAUGUGUACCUGUCGGAUUUCCGGCAAGUAAUGUUGUUUUUUUAGCUA